UGAGGCUUGAUGUGUUCUGACUGUGUC
rnacentral:piRNA from 1 species